rnacentral:rRNA from 1 species
AGAAUCAACGCUGGCGGCGUGCCUAACACAUGCAAGUCGAACGAGAAAGUGGUAGCAAUACCAUGAGUACAGUGGCGCACGGGUGAGCAACACGUGACUAACCUACCCUGGAGUGGGGGAUAACUGAGGGAAACCUUAGCUAAUACCGCAUAAUACCUACGGGUCAAAGGAGCAAUUCGCUUCAGGAGGGGGUCGCGGCCGAUUAGUUAGUUGGCGGGGUAAUGGCCCACCAAGACAGUGAUCGGUA